UUGGCUUUUCUCAUCUAAACAUCGUCGUAUUUUUACAGCCUGAUCCAAAAUCCGUGUCCAAUGAAAAGGAAGAAAAAAAUUGAUAGAGAUCGAUGCUUCCGAUAAUAGGGAUCGCCAGCUCCCAUCUCCACUCUCGUGAUACGGUCAGUUGCCACCAUCCCUGACUGAACAGAACUUUUGGCGACGGGAUUGGAAUCGAGGAUCAACGUCUCUCUAUGCUGCAAAAACUUUCUCUUUGCCAUAACCUAAUUAGAAUCGAUGAUUGGAGGCACACCAAUGGUGUAUCUAUAUAGAAUCAUUGAUGGAUGUGUGGCAAAUAGUGCUGCAAAGCUCUAACCAAUGGAGCUUUAUAGAAGAAGCGUCAAGGAAAGGAUCGGUCUUGGCAUGAUUAACGAGGCAUAAGAUAGAAGACCCACAAGUUAUGGUCGUAAUAAUCGAUCUUAAGGCACAACAAGAGGAUUCACAGGGCUUUGGCUCUUUGAUUUCACUGGAGAAAGACAGAGGAAGUGCAAGCUGAGAAGAAUCAUAGGAUAUCAUUGGUGUAUUGCAAGUGAGCUCUGUGACACUGUAUUUUCUUUGAUUUCAACUCGGCGAAGUUGUCACUUUCAGUCGUCGUUAUCAUCACGAAGAGGAAGACAGGUUGGAGUUAAAGUUUUGGCCAGGUGGAGAUUAUUGAUAAUGGGCCUCAACUUUAACACAACCCAAUAACUAAAUCUGCGCAAAAGAAGAAAUACGUUAAUGUCGGUUAGUCAAAUUGGUAAGGCAAUGGAGAAAAGAAAAACUAAAGACGGUGGACAAGGUUAUAAAUAGAGAUAGGGAUCAUCCGAAACACAAGACCAAAGAGAAAGAGAGCUAAAGCGAGAUCGGGUAGAGAAGAAACUUAGGGCAAGAGACAUUGUUCGAGUUAUAUCUCUUCGGGACAGAGUUUUUUUAAUCUUUCUUAUUCUUUGCUGUGUCUUCCCAUUGAGCGAUUAGA